GGAUUGGCGGCGCGGCGGGCGGCGUUGGCCUGUUCGUAACUGGCAAAGGCGGGUUCGUACUCCGCCGCAUCCUCCA
rnacentral:tRNA from 1 species